UAUUUUUUGAACUUUCUUUUUGAACAUUAUAGAAGACAGCGAAGCAUUGAUUCCUUGGGAUCUUAAUCACCUUGUAAUCUAAGGUUUGCUAUUUAUUGGUCAAUUUUUAUUAAAAUGAUUAGUUAACAUUGUUUUCAUACCGGAUAAUGCUCUAAAAAAAUCAGAAGAUUUUGCCUGAUUAUGCAUAUUAUUUACAUCUGUAAAUACUCCACUCUUACCUACUACAUACUUGU